UACGAAGGGGGCUAGCGUUGCUCGGAAUCACUGGGCGUAAAGCGCACGUAGGCGGAUUGCUAAGUCAGGGGUGAAAUCCUGGAGCUCAACUCCAGAACUGCCUUUGAUACUGGCGACCUUGAGUCCGGGAGAGGUGAGUGGAACUGCGAGUGUAGAGGUGAAAUUCGUAGAUAUUCGCAAGAACACCAGUGGCGAAGGCGGCUCACUGGCCCGGUACUGACGCUGACGGUG
rnacentral:rRNA from 1 species